UACAGAGGGUGCAAGCGUUGUUCGGAAUCAUUGGGCGUAAAGGGCGUGUAGGCGGUCUGUUAAGUCAUGUGUGAAAUCCCUCGGCUCAACCGGGGAACGACGCAUGAAACUGACAAGCUAGAGUACCAAAGAGGGGGGUGGAAUUCCCGGUGUAGCGGUGGAAAUGCGUAGAUAUCGGGAGGAACACCGGUGGCGAAGGCGGCCCCCUGGUUGGAGUACUGACGCUGAGACGCGAAAGCGUGGGGAGCAA
rnacentral:rRNA from 1 species